rnacentral:rRNA from 1 species
GACGAACGCUGGCGGCGUGCCUAAUACAUGCAAGUAGAACGCUGAAGGAGGAGCUUGCUUCUCUGGAUGAGUUGCGAACGGGUGAGUAACGCGUAGGUAACCUGCCUGGUAGCGGGGGAUAACUAUUGGAAACGAUAGCUAAUACCGCAUAACAGUAGAUACCGCAUGAUAUCUACUGGAAAGGUGCAAUGGCAUCACUACCAGAUGGACCUGCGUUGUAUUAGCUAGUUGGUGUGGUAACGGCUCACUAAGGCGACGAUACAUAGCAGACCUGAGAGGGGGAUCGGCCACCCUGGGACUGAGACACGGCCCAGACUCCUACGGGAGGCAGCAGUAGGGAAUCUUCGGCAAUGGACGGAAGUCUGACCGAGCAACGCCGCGUGAGUGAAGAAGGUUUUCGGAUCGUAAAGCUCUGUUGUAAGAGAAGAACGAGUGUGAGAGUGGAAAGUUCACACUGUGACGGUAUCUUACCAGAAAGAGACGGCUAACUACGUG